rnacentral:rRNA from 1 species
UACAGAGGUCCCGAGCGUUGUUCGGAUUCAUUGGGCGUAAAGGGUGCGUAGGCGGUUCUUUAAGUUUGAUGUGAAAUCCCGGGGCUCAACCCUGGAAUUGCAUUGAAUACUGGGGGACUAGAGUACUGGAGAGGAAACUGGAAUUUACGGUGUAGCAGUGAAAUGCGUAGAGAUCGUAAGGAAGACCAGUGGCGAAGGCGAGUUUCUGGACAGUUACUGACGCUGAGGCACGAAGGCCAGGGGAGCAAACGGG